rnacentral:rRNA from 1 species
GACAGAGGAUGCAAGCGUUAUCCGGAAUGAUUGGGCGUAAAGCGUCUGUAGGUGGCUUUUAAGUCCGCCGUCAAAUCCCAGGGCUCAACCCUGGACAGGCGGUGGAAACUACCAAGCUGGAGUACGGUAGGGGCAGAGGGAAUUUCCAGUGGAGCGGUGAAAUGUGUAGAUAUUGGAAAGACCACCGAUGGCGAAGGCAUUCUACUGGGCCAUGACUGACACUGAGAGACGAAAGCUAGGGGAGCAAAUGGG